CAGUAUUUAGAAUUUGUUCUCCUGCAGUAUUUGUCAUCGUUCUACCACUCUCUUAAGAUUAUAAUUCCUGCUCAAUAUUUUCUUUUUAAACUACCUCUCAUUUUAAUAUAUGCUUUGUGUUUUCUUAAAAUAAACGCUGUCAUGCAGCUCUUCUACUUCCUUUAUUGAGAAAACAGUAAUACCCAUAUGAUGGUGGAAAAAAAUUGAGAGGGAGGGAGAGACAGGGAAAGGAAACAGAAAUCAUAACCAAAAAGUUCGCACUGAUUAUUGAAAUAGUCAGUGUUCCCUUGGGCUGUGGGGAAGGGAAAGGCACUUUUACAGUGUCUUGGAAUAUUUUUCUUCUGUACGAUUCUGACUUUUCAUUGUGUAUUUAUGCUACAGUGAGAGACGGGAAGAAAAGAAAAAGAACUCAGAGUUUUACAAUGAACAUUGCAGUGGGCAUACCAUGGAGUCAGACCACCAGCAGAGCAUUAAACAAGGACAGAUGUGAAUGCCAGGAUAAAAAUGAAGACAUUCCUUAAGUAGUGAUCCCCUGAAAACGCGUUCAGAAGAAGGCAAUGGGGGAAACAGAGAAAGUCCGUUUUGAAAGCACCGUUGUGUACGUUGGUAGACAGUUCCACCUCCUGCCAAAUCACCAGUGCCGCUGUUUUCAGAAUCAGGCAAAGCUCUCCUCCAUGUCCAACAGAGCUGGCCAGAUAUGUGCCAACAGUGCAGGCACGACUCUGCUGCCCUGGCUUCUCUCCACUGGGACACAGCAGCCCUGAGGACUACUGCCUAUGCCCAAGGUGCCCAGAGGUAUUUUCCCCAAAAGAGCUGAGCAAAAUCCCUUGCUAUUGAAUUAUCAGCAAAACACCACAACAGGAAUGGGAACAGGAAUGGGAACAGGAACAGGAACAGUCUUUAUCAUGGCUAUUGGCUUUGCAGCCACUUCCAGUAGGCAGCACAGGUCCUUUUGGCAGCAGAAGCCAGCUGAUACGCUAAACUAUGCUAAAGUAGUGUUUAGAGAAAUAGUAAUUACUAACAUCCUCUCCCAGUCAAGCCGACACUAACCAGGCCUACUGCUAGGUGUGUGUAUAUACAUACUCACACUCAAUAGAUAAAUAGAUACGUGCAUAUACCCCAGGAAAAAUAUCUCUCGGUAAGGUGACUAGGUCUUACUUUAAAUCAAGUACUUGACACUAAUAAAAACAAUGUAUUCGGCCAUAAGAUCUUGCAUGCUGACUGGCUGCAGGGUAAGUCGGUAUUAAGUAAGUCUUUAUUUUCUGUUUUCUCUGUUGUUUGUUCUAUAUCAUAAGUAUUCUUUGCAUCUUUCCAAUCGUUUGUAAACAGACCCUUAAAAAUGUAAGCCUAUUAUAUUCUUUGCUUGAAAUGAAUACAAUAGAAGGAAAUGCGGUGGAAUUUUGGCGAGAAUUGCAUGCAUUCAUGUUCCGCGGUUUUAAAAUGACCCAAAAUACUGACAAUUUUACUUGAAGACUAUAUAUCAUUACUUCCUUCCUUCUCAUAAGGGAUUUUACUAUGCAAACUGUUUUGUCUGAUUUUUUCUAAAGAAUUACUUGUAGGAGAUAAAAUUGUCAAAGAUAUCCAUGUGACUUUGGAGAUUACCAAACCGAUUAAGGUGCCAAAGUACCUUUGUCAGAGGGACAAAGUCAUGUAAAUUAUUUUGAUGUUUUGAAAAUUUUAUCUUACGCUCUUACCCAACAAAUUUCCCUAUGAUUUUAGAAAGGCUAUAAAUCAAACCAGCAGCUUAUUUAUAAUGAAUAUCUACGUACAAAAAAAAAAUACUGUUUGAUGAUUUGAUGAAGCAGUUGAAUGUUAAUUAGGAAGAAAAUUCUUACUAGGCCAUCUCAUUGCCUGAAGCCAUUUUUUGCUAUUCUUCCUAGUGGAAAAGUCAAGUACUGGAAGUUAACAUAAACUGUGCAUAAACAAAAGUGUUGAUAGCUAACUUAAAGAUGCCAUAAAUAUAAUUAUGCAUGUAACAUUUAUUUCUGGCUGCAUUUUUUAGAGUAUUGAUUUCUGUAGAGAAAAUACGGUGAAUGAUUUUACAAGAACAGAGUUAAUUUUAUAAAAACAUAUCUGAGUGAAAAUAUUUGUUUUUCUGUGGGUUUGAUUUUGCUCUCACUAGGUAGUCAGUCCUGCAAGAUGCUGAACAGCCAGUCCCAAUUUCGGCAAAAUGGUUAAAUGCACAUUUAACUUUAAUCCUACCAGUUUUACUGAAAUCACAAAUUUACUGAUGCUAGAAAGAAAAUUCAGCAGAGCUGUAUUUUAGAAGCAAGAAACUCAAUGUUCCUUACAAUUUACUCAGAGGAGAGUAAGUGCCCUGCUUUACAGUUAGCAUCUGAGUUAAUUCCCAUCAAAAAGAACUAAAGAACAGUAUUUUCCUCCUGUUUUUUUGUUUUGUUUUGUUUUGUUUUUUUUUUUUUUUUUUUUUUUUUUCACGUUUCUUUGCAUUUCCAAUACAACUUUUCGGGCCUAAUUUUGCAAAUAUUUUUCUACAUGAGUAAUUCUCCUCCUCUGAUAAAUACUAUUGAAUUCACUAGGGCUAUAUUCAAAAACAGAGUUACUUAUCUGGGCAAAUGUAUGCAAGACAAGGCUGUUAGGCAGCUCCCCAUGACAAUAGAGAAGAGAAAAAUAUGCUUGUGGGACUAAGGCCUGGAGGAUUGGGCCCAUAGCCAGUGACAUUAUAAUAUAUAUUUUUUUUUAAUAACAAGGAAAACCCACGCAUGAGUGAAACCAUAUGGAAAACUGAGUUAAGGUGAGGAGGUUUUAAAUAAUGCUUAUUUAUCAUUUUGAAAGAAAAAAAAAAAAUCCUGUUCCUGCCUAUUGCAUUUAAUACUUUAAAUGUAGGGACUGAUUCUGUGGCCAAAAUUCCUCUCCUUGUCAGGGGGGAAAUUAUCUGCUAGACUACCACAGGAUCAGGCCCUGAAAUGUCAUUGCAAGCUUAUUGGCAAAGCUUGCUCCCUUCCACCUCCUUCUUAUUUUCUGUUUUUCCUAUAUCUGUACAGGAAGAAAUGAAAAGUUAAGCUAAAAUACAUUAACUAAUAUUGGUUUAUUAAUUGGAGAAUUUAACUUAUCCCUCUUGCUGUUCAUCUGAAAUUAAUUAAGUGUGUAGAAUUACAAGGUGGGUGUACCACAGGCAGCAGUCCAGGCUCAAGUUAAUCAAAAGAGCACAUGUUGAAUGCAUACAAUUUAGUUAAGGUUAAUCCAGUGAAGAUGAUCCCUCACUGGUCCUAAUUACUCUAGGUGAUAGAUUGUGGAAUGAGAAAAUAGGAAGGAAGGGAAAUUUUGUCCUGCUGGUCUACUAGGAUUUUCUAAUUAAAUUUAGCAGGCUAUGUACAAGAGCAAAUAGUUUCAAUUUAAAGAGAAGACCACACUGCAAGGGUGCUUAUCUGACAUGAAUGUAAGGAGCUUUGAACUAAAAUAACUAGGUAUGAUAAUGUAAAAAUAGAAAAGUUAAAGCUGGCCAUUGUGUCUUUAUGUGCUUUCACACAUCAUGUUUCUGCGAGCUUUGGACUGUUGUGUUGGAAUUGUGAUGCUGCUAUUUAUUGCUUGAGUAAAGGCAAUGGCACAUUAAAACAGGCCUACUAUGUUAUUUCAUUACCAUCACUGAAAGACCAAAUAGCAGUAUGACUGUUAAUUUGCCAUAAAAAUAUAUUGGUGUUGUGUUAGCUAAAGUCUUUUCAUUUAAUCUUGUUCAUUAUGUCAAUCCAAGAGAAAACAAAGGUGUUCCUAGGACUCUUUGAUUGCAUGUUCUAUGUUCAUUACACCAUUAAUUUGUGUUUUGUUUUUGUGUGUGUGUGUGUUUAUGUGUUUUUUUUCUACCAUAUUUGUCUUUUUUUUUUUUUUUUCAGCUUUGAAGGAACCUUAUGAAAAGUUGUUGGGUUUUGUUUGUUUGUUUGUUUGUUUGUUUGUUUGUUUUAUGUGUCUUGAUUUUUUUUCCAGGCAUAUACAUGUAAAAGUUGUCAAAUAAUUUGCCCUAUUUUUCAGGUUAGUGAUAUAUUUCUGCUCAAGUGGAGGUAUCUGUUUCUGAUUUAUUAACAUUUGAUCCCCUAGUUUCCUGCCAUUGAUCAAGACUAAUACUCAGCUCAGCUGAUGAGUUUUAUAUGAAAUCUGAUAUUGCAGGAAAAGAGAAAAGUUAGUACCAUUUUUAAUAUUUUUCUAUUUCAAGUUUUCCAAGAGCAUAACAUGCACACAUAACGCCUGACAAAAUUGGGCAGUAUUUAUUCUUACCGGGUUUCCAUGGGAUAAAAAUUUUUGGAAGUGAAACAAGUAUUUAUCAAUAGAACAGAUGUUUGCUCGGUGUCAUUCACAUCCUGUAAACUGUAUAUACAUUUACACCCUACCGCCAAAACAUGGUUUCACCCUACUACUGACCGUCUGUCUGCCAUUCAAUCUCUAGUUAAGUCACGGUCAAUAAGGUCAACUCUUUGGCAACAUCUGUAUUUGAUCAGUUCACACAAAAUAGGAGCCUUCCUAAUGCCUGACUACCCUGAAGUAUUUUAAGAGGCAGCGUAUUACAAUAGUUGAUUCACCACUGCUGCAGACUCCGCACUUGGAAGAUUUUGCCUCCUCUGAGGAACUGAAAUGUGAAGAUUAAAAUCCUUUCUAGCAAAAUAAAUCUCUGAAAUGAGUGGGUUUAGCAGUCACGUAGUUUCAAGACUGACAAGAAGCAUUUAGCAGUUUCUCUCCCUGAGUCCCUUGGUGUAGGGAUUUGGAUUUGUGAUAUUUUAUAUUUUAACCCUGUUCUGCACAAGUUUAAAGCUUAAAGAUUGUUUAGGUUGUUGCAGAGAUGAGAAAUAAAGAUGGAGAAAAAAAAUAUCCAUAACAGCAAAUGAUAUUUAUCUUCUAGAUAUUUCCACAUUCUGUACAGGCAACAAUUUCAACAAAUUAGUGUACUUUUCUUCAAAUGAGUGAAUACAAAUUCUUCCUUCAAAGAAAGCAAAGUAUUCUGGGUGGAGUCCCAGCACUGCUGAAACCAGGAGGGACAGGAUGCGACCACUGUGUUGUUUCAAAUUUGGGAGCUACUUUAAAAUACAGCAUUAGAGCUGUGAUUCUGGGCACAUUCCUGCUGGUGCCACUUCACUGACAUUCUUAGGUUUAGAGCAAAUGAGAAUAAAAUCUGACUUCUCAGAAUGGGACUGUGUGACUGAUAUUAUUAUUAUUAUUAUUUUGUUUUGUUUUAUUGUUUUUGGAGGGGAAAACAAACAAAAAAAUUAUUCUUGAGAAACUCAAAUGACCAAAAAACAGUGGCCUCUGAUGCUGUUAUGUUUCAACACUACAAUAUCUGGUGUUGCCAGCAGAUGAUCAUUAUUAAUAAGGCUGCCAGUACUCUGAUUAUACUGCUGGUCACCCUUGUUAUGUUCAACACCAAGGAAAGCCUGAUAUGAUUUCUAGCUGCUGGCUGUUGCAAAAUGGGCAGGGCAGCAAGAGCACAGCAGUAUCCUGAAGGCAGCCCCAGGAUUUAAAAGGGAAUGGUCCUUAUGAUGGGACCAGGCUGAGCAGUGCCAUGGACAAGGGGUCAGCAGAGCUUUUUGGAGCUCACAUAACAAGAGGAUGACUUUUUAAAGGAUUUUAAUGAUGGGAGUUUAGUGCACACAAGCUGCUGCUGAAAAGUGAACGUUUUUGUUUGUUUUUCAAUACUAAUCCCCUUUUGUUUACUU